UGAUUUACGCCACACCCUUUUCUUGGCAUGCUGGGGGGAACCCACGCUUCCUCUCAUUCUGAAACUGAAAGCUUUAUUGCCCUUUGUAGCGGAGGUCUGGGAACCAGAAUACAACAAGGUGGAAAGUCAGAGGAAAUGAAAGAGAAAGUGAUCAGUCUUUCCAUGCUGCGACUCAAACGAGGACUCUUCUGAGGAAACGUGACUGUUGUUCCAUUGUUUACCAUGAAACGGCAACAGCUGAUUAUAAUCAACGGGAAGUAUCAUCUGGAUUUGUUUUAACAGCUGCAGAGGGACAAUAGUGAAGCUGACUGUGAUUCCACUGAUGACCUCUCCACUUCUCCUGCUGCAUUUAAACCCGGUCUCUGCAUUCACUCUUCGCCAGUUCGUCCAGUUUCCCUCAUUGUCCGGCGACUCUCCUUUUCCGCCUCGCCCAGCCCGUCGCUGUCAGUCUGCCUCCGGUCUCCCUCCCUGGAUUCCCUCACCUGCCCUGCCUCCCUGACUUCCCCCAGAAUCCAUCUCCCAGACCUGUUGGACUUUUGUGUUCUUUAGGAAUAAACAUUUGAAGUCUGCACUGUGGGUUCAGUCCGUCCUUUAAGCACUGCUUAACACGCCCAGCUGCAUAUCAUGCUGAAGGAUGGCAUUUCUCGUUGGUGUCUGACGCCAGAAGUCACUGACCGAGCAUGGGUUUUCGACGACUUCAGCGUGAGAUCAGGUUGCUAACAUUAACUCUGCUUGUUUCUCUGAUAUCAUAAGAUCCAGACGUCGAAUGACUAAAAUCCUUAAUCCAGCAUACAUACAUACAACAAAGUCUCCCAUGGGUAAUGCUUUGUUUAGCAAUAUUCUAUCAAAAAUAGUUAUGUUUGGACGUCCAUCAGCCCACAAGAGGAUGCAAGACACUUGGUUAAUGCUGCCCAGGAAUUUUCAGAGCUUUUUUGUUUGUUUGUUUGUUUGUUGAUUGUUUUGACAUUUUCUCACCUUUCUUGCUGUCUUCAUCACAGUCCCUUUGCACUCAUAUGCUUUGAUUUUUCUUCUUAACGCCAUAUUAAACCUAACAGGCUGAACCAGCAACAGACUGAACUUACGGCCACCUCUUGGUGCUCUACUUGUGAACAGAUUUCCCUGUACUUUCUCCUCUGGUUGGAAAACUAGAGCAGUGGUCAUAAAAAGUUCAUUGUUUAUACAACAGGCCUACACAUCAUCAAACUCUCUAUCUCACAGCUGAUGCAGUUUCCAUUAUAUAAAAGCUGUGUUGGAUUUUAUGGACAUGAUUUCAAACCAGACACUGUUUUAUUAUCAGUCUAUACAGUGUUGUGUUACAGUG